UUAUUAUUAUUAUUAAUUAUAUCUGGGCAU
rnacentral:piRNA from 1 species